AGAUGAAUGUGACCUCCUCUAUUGCAGAGGCUGGAAUGAUGCCCUGGAGAGUUCACAGGCCGUGAGCCUCAGAUGUGGGCAGCUGAUCUUCACACAAUCACUUCAGCCAACUGAUCCCACUCACGAUCAAGGAGCCAAAAAAAAAUCAGCCUUUCAUCAUUCAAGAGCCUGACACCAUACAAAGUUAUCCUAAGAUUAGUUGUGAGAUCCUGGUGCUGCAAAGUGGAUGGUGCCACUGCCCAGGAGCCAGCAGUCAAAGAUGACACAAGUUAGACUUCAGAACAAUCUUCUCUCAAGGCAGAGCUUCCGGGAUAACAAGGUCUUUCAGUUGAAUAUUCUGAAGAGAAGAUGACGAAUAUGUCAGGAGUUUCAUGUGCAAAUGAGACCUUGCUUUGCAUCAUGAGGGAAAUAUGUGCUUAGCCAGCCUAAAGACCGGGAACCACAAUGGAAGAACAAUAUCAACUAACCGGACUCCUCAGAACUCCCGGGGAUUAAACCACCCACCAAGGAGUAUACAUAAGUCAUAUCUGUAAGACUGAUUAGAAGCUAAAGAUGCCAACCAGACAAGCUGCCAACCAGACAAGAUGAGCACUCCCUUGAAUCCAGAUGAUGGAAGGAGAGAACCAAUUACAGCAAGAGUUUGCCUGACCUCCACAGGUGCACUGUGACACACACUUACAACCAAACCUUUAAAUUAAAAAAAAGUUAUAUCAUUCUGUGCACCAAAUAAACCUCUCAGAAGGUAAAUACAACCCAUAGGGUAUGUCAUGAACUGCUCUUGCUCCCUACCUUUACAGUGCCCAUUGUAUUUGAACAAAUUAUUGUGGUUUUACUGCUUUAAUUUCUGGUCCCCUUAUUUCUUACACAGAUAAGAUAUUCUCCUCCAUCCUUUUACAGUGUUCCUCUCCCAAACAUGAGCAUACCUUCUCCUCGUCCUGUUUUAAAACUGAAUGCAAAACAUUUUUAUAUGUUACUGUGGCAAUCGGUUGCACUGCACAUAAUGCAUAUUUCAUACAGUUGCCCAAUUAUUUCUUAGCUGAUAUUGGGCCUAGAAGUAAAUAAACAUGA
rnacentral:sRNA from 1 species